AGAUUACCUGAGUUAAAUGCGCUAGCAGAUUUUCGCGCUAGCAAAAUUAUCCGUUAUUCCGAUAGGACACUGAGAAAUAGUUCAUACAGCGGUACUUCAAGAUGAAAAAGUCACUGCACGCUCAAAUUCGUCUACACAGAGCAAAUAACAUGAGCUGAUAUUAUUAUAGUCCGCACUCUGCCGAAAUAUUUAUCCGAGUAUUACACAAAUAAGUCCAAUGUCUGUUCUGAGGAAAUUUUUGACUCAUACAUCCGGUGAUGUUUAUUUAUAUAAUUAUGAAUACCAUGUAUAUGACUGACUUUCCAAAGCACCGAGAGUUUAGGUUUUGGCAAAAAGUAUUGAAACGGUUUGAAAUCGAAAAUGUUUGUAAAAAAGGCGAUAUUUCUUUUAAUUGUAGGUCGGACGUAGAACUCUGAUUGCACACUGAAUGUAUAUAUCGAGAUGUAUGAGUGAAUGAAGAAAACUGCAUGUGUACCGCUGUAUCGCGCUAGCAAAAUAAAUUGUUUCUGCUGCACAAUCUGCAGCACCAAAACACUAUAUUCGUAUGGAACUUCGCACGAGUUUAUUUGGCGUUUGAGCAGUGUAGUGAUUACAGGAAAAACAUCCUUGCGCAUUUACCAACAAACCGACCCGCUCUAAAGCCAAACUUGUGAAUGUCACUUGGGUGGCUGAUGGUAACAAUGAUAACAACCAUGUUCUGCUGGCGUAAAGCAAGGUCGAUAAUUCAAAAAUGUGUAGCACUAACAUCUAGCUGGAUAUAUUAUCUACCAUCUGAGAGUUUUCCAGAGAGGUGUUUUUUGAAAAAGUGGGAAUUUUUUAAAUAGUUGGUAUAGAGCACAUAUAUGUGGUGAGCAUAGAAAAAUAAGUAUUUUUGAGUCACUAUUGCAAAAAAAUCAGAGCCUGACUGGCAAAAUGGCACCCGUAGGCAUCUAGCUGGAUGUAUUAUCUACCAUCUGAGAGUUUUCCAGAGAGGUGUUUUUUGAAAAAGUGGGAAUUUUUGAAAUAGUUGGUAUAGAGCAUUUAAGUGUUAUGAGUGUAGAAAAAUAAGUAUUUUUGAGACACUAUUCCGAAAAUUUCAGAGCCUGACUGGCAAAGUGGCACCCGUAGGCAUCUAGCUGGAUGUAUAAUCUACCAUCUGAGAGUUUUCCAGAGAGGUGUUUUUUUAAAAAAAGGGAAUUUUUGAAAUAGUUGGUAUAGAGCAUCUAAGUGUUAUUAGCGUAGAAAAAUAAGUAUUUUUGAGACACUUUUCCAAAAAUUUCAGAGCCUGACUGGCAAAGUGGCACCCGUAGGCAUCUAGCUGGAUGUAUUAUCUACCAUCUAAGAGUUUUCCAGAGAGGUGUUUUUUUAAAAAAAGGGAAUUUUUGAAAUAGUUGGUAUAGAGCAUCUAAGUGUUAUUAGCGUAGAAAAAUAAGUAUUUUUGAGACACUUUUCCAAAAAUUUCAGAGCCUGACUGGCAAAGUGGCACCCGUAGGCAUCUAGCUGGAUGUAUUAUCUACCAUCUGAGAGUUUUCCAGAGAGGUGUUUUUUGAAAAAGUGGGAAUUUUUGAAAUAGUUGGUAUAGAGCAUCUAAGUGUUAUGAGUGUAGAAAAAUAAGUAUUUUUGAGACACUAUUCCGAAAAUUUCAGAGCCUGACUGGCAAAAUGGCACCCGUAGGCAUCUAGCUGGAUGUAUUAUCUACCAUCUGAGAGUUUUCCAGAUAAAUGUUUUUUGAAAAAGUGGGAUUUUUUGAAAUAGUUGGUAUAGAGCAUCUAAGUGUUAUGAGCGUAGAAAAAUAAGUAUUUUUGAGUCACUAUUCCGAAAAUUUCAGAGCCUGACUGGCAAAGUGGCACACGUAGGCAUCUAGCUGGAUGUAUUAUCUACCAUCUGAGAGUUUUCCAGAGAGGUGUUUUUUUAAAAAAAGGGAAUUUUUGAAAUAGUUGGUAUAGAGCAUCUAAGUGUUAUUAGCGUAGAAAAAUAAGUAUUUUUGAGACACUUUUCCAAAAAUUUCAGAGCCUGACUGGCAAAGUGGCACCCGUAGGCAUCUAGCUGGAUGUAUUAUCUACCAUCUGAGAGUUUUCCAGAGAGGUGUUUUUUGAAAAAGUGGGAAUUUUUGAAAUAGUUGGUAUAAAGCAUCUAAGUGUUAUGAGUGUAGAAAAAUAAGUAUUUUUGAGACACUAUUCCGAAAAUUUCAGAGCCUGACUGGCAAAGUGGCACCCGUAGGCAUCUAGCUGGAUGUAUAAUCUACCAUCUAAGAGUUUUCCAGAGAGGUGUUUUUUGAAAAAGUGGGAAUUUUUGAAAUAUUUGGUAUAGAGCACAUAUAUGUGGUGAGCAUAGAAAAAUAAGUAUUUUUGAGUCACUAUUGCAAAAAAAUCAGAGCCUGACUGGCAAAAUGGCACCCGUAGGCAUCUAGCUGGAUGUAUUAUCUACCAUCUGAGAGUUUUCCAGAGAGGUGUUUUUUGAAAAAGUGGGAAUUUUUGAAAUAGUUGGUAUAGAGCAUCUAAGUGUUAUGAGUGUAGAAAAAUAAGUAUUUUUGAGACACUAUUCCGAAAAUUUCAGAGCCUGACUGGCAAAGUGGCACCCGUAGGCAUCUAGCUGGAUGUAUAAUCUACCAUCUGAGAGUUUUCCAGAGAGGUGUUUUUUUAAAAAAAGGGAAUUUUUGAAAUAGUUGGUAUAGAGCAUCUAAGUGUUAUUAGCGUAGAAAAAUAAGUAUUUUUGAGACACUUUUCCAAAAAUUUCAGAGCCUGACUGGCAAAGUGGCACCCGUAGGCAUCUAGCUGGAUGUAUAAUCUACCAUCUAAGAGUUUUCCAGAGAGGUGUUUUUUGAAAAAGUGGGAAUUUUUGAAAUAUUUGGUAUAGAGCACAUAUAUGUGGUGAGCAUAGAAAAAUAAGUAUUUUUGAGUCACUAUUCCGAAAAAUUCAGAGCCUGACUGGCAAAAUGGCACCCGUAGGCAUCUAGCUGGAUGUAUUAUCUACCAUCUGAGAGUUUUCCAGAGAGGUGUUUUUUGAAAAAAAGGGAAUUUUUGAAAUAGUUGGUAUAGAGCAUCUAAGUGUUAUUAGCGUAAAAAAAUAAGUAAUUUUGAGACACUUUUCCAAAAAUUUCAGAGCCUGACUGGCAAAAUGGCACCCGUAGGCAUCUAGUUGGAUGUAUUAUCUACCAUCUAAGAGAUUUUCAGAGAGGUGUUUUUUGAAAAAGUGGGAAUUUUUGAAAUAGUUGGUAUAGAGCAUCUAAGUGUUAUGAGCGUAGAAAAAUAAGUAUUUUUGAGACACUAUUCCGAAAAUUUCAGAGCCUGACUGGCAAAGUGGCACCCGUAGGCAUCUAGCUGGAUGUAUUAUCUACCAUCUAAGAGUUUUCCAGAGAGGUGUUUUUUGAAAAAGUGGGAAUUUUUGAAAUAGUUGGUAUAGAGCACAUAUAUGUGGUGAGCAUAGAAAAAUAAGUAUUUUUGAGUCACUAUUGCAAAAAAUUCAGAGCCUGACUGGCAAAAUGGCACCCGUAGGCAUCUAGCUGGAUGUAUUAUCUACCAUCUGAGAGUUUUCCAGAGAGGUGUUUUUUGAAAAAGUGGGAAUUUUUGAAAUAGCUGGUAUAGAGCAUCUAAGUGUUAUGAGCGUAGAAAAAUAAGUAUUUUUGAGACACUAUUCCGAAAAUUUCAGAGCCUGACUGGCAAAGUGGCACCCGUAGGCAUCUAGCUGGAUGUAUUAUCUACCAUCUAAGAGAUUUUCAGAGAGGUGUUUUUUGAAAAAGUGGGAAUUUUUGAAAUAGUUGGUAUAGAGCAUUUAAGUGUUAUGAGCGUAGAAAAAUAAGUAUUUUUGAGACACUAUUCCGAAAAUUUCAGAGCCUGACUGGCAAAGUGGCACCCGUAGGCAUCUAGCUGGAUGUAUUAUCUACCAUCUAAGAGAUUUUCAGAGAGGUGUUUUUUGAAAAAGUGGGAAUUUUUGAAAUAGUUGGUAUAGAGCACAUAUAUGUGAUGAGCAUAGAAAAAUAAGUAUUUUUGAGUCACUAUUGCGAAAAAUAUAGAGCCUGACUGGCAAAGUGGCACCCGUAGGCAUCUAGCUGGAUGCAUUAUCUACCAUCUGAGAGUUUUCCAGAGAGGUGUUUUUUGAAAAAGUGGGAAUUUUUGAAAUAGUUGGUAUAGAGCAUCUAAGUGUUAUGAGCGUAGAAAAAUAAGUAUUUUUGAGACACUAUUCCGAAAAUUUCAGAGCCUGACUGGCAAAGUGGCACACGUAGGUAUCUAGCUGGAUGUAUUAUCUACCAUCUAAGAGUUUUCCAGAGAGGUGUUUUUUGAAAAAGUGGGAAUUUUUGAAAUAUUUGGUAUAGAGCACAUGUGCUGAGCAUAGAAAAAUAAGUAUUUUUGAAGCACUAUUUCCAAAAAUUCAGAGCCUGACUGGCAAAAUGGCACCCGUAGGCAUCUAGCUGGAUGUAUUAUCUACCAUCUGAGAGUUUUCCAGAGAGGUGUUUUUUUGAAAAAGUGGGAAUUUUUGAAAUAGCUGGUAUAGAGCAUCUAAGUGUUAUGAGCGUAGAAAAAUAAGUAUUUUUGAGACACUAUUCCGAAAAUUUCAGAGCCUGACUGGCAAAGUGGCACCCGUAGGCAUCUAGCUGGAUGUAUUAUCUACCAUCUAAGAGAUUUUCAGAGAGGUGUUUUUUGAAAAAGUGGGAAUUUUUGAAAUAGUUGGUAUAGAGCAUUUAAGUGUUAUGAGCGUAGAAAAAUAAGUAUUUUUGAGACACUAUUCCGAAAAUUUCAGAGCCUGACUGGCAAAGUGGCACCCGUAGGCAUCUAGCUGGAUGUAUUAUCUACCAUCUAAGAGAUUUUCAGAGAGGUGUUUUUUGAAAAAGUGGGAAUUUUUGAAAUAGUUGGUAUAGAGCAUUUAAGUGUUAUGAGCGUAGAAAAUUAAGUAUUUUUGAGACACUAUUCCGAAAAUUUCAGAGCCUGACUGGCAAAGUGGCACACGUAGGCAUCUAGCUGGAUGUAUUAUCUACCAUCUAAGAGUUUUCCAGAGAGGUGUUUUUUGAAAAAGUGGGAAUUUUUGAAAUAUUUGGUAUAGAGCACAUGUGCUGAGCAUAGAAAAAUAAGUAUUUUUGAAGCACUAUUUCCAAAAAUUCAGAGCCUGACUGGCAAAAUGGCACCCGUAGGCAUCUAGCUGGAUGUAUUAUCUACCAUCUAAGAGAUUUUCAGAGAGGUGUUUUUUGAAAAAGUGGGAAUUUUUGAAAUAGUUGGUAUAGAGCAUCUAAGUGUUAUGAGCGUAGAAAAAUAAGUAUUUUUGAGGCACUAUUCCGAAAAUUUCAGAGCCUGACUGGCAAAGUGGCACCCGUAGGCAUCUAGCUGGAUGUAUUAUCUACCAUCUAAGAGAUUUUCAGAGAGGUGUUUUUUGAAAAAGUGGGAAUUUUUGAAAUAGUUGGUAUAGAGCAUCUAAGUGUUAUGAGCGUAGAAAAAUAAGUAUUUUUGAGGCACUAUUCCGAAAAUUUCAGAGCCUGACUGGCAAAGUGGCACCCGUAGGCAUCUAGCUGGAUGUAUUAUCUACCAUCUAAGAGUUUUCCAGAGAGGUGUUUUUUGAAAAAGUGGGAAUUUUUGAAAUAUUUGGUAUAGAGCACAUAUAUGUGGUGAGCAUAGAAAAAUAAGUAUUUUUGAGUCACUAUUGCGAAAAAUUCAGAGCCUGACUGGCAAAAUGGCACCCGUAGGCAUCUAGCUGAAUGUAUUAUCUACCAUCUGAGAGUUUUCCAGAGAGGUGUUUUUUGAAAAAGUGAGAAUUUUUGAAAUAGUUGGUAUAGAGCACAUAUAUGUGGUGAGCAUAGAAAAAUAAGUAUUUUUGAGUCACUAUUGCGAAAAAUUCAGAGCCUGACUAGCAAAAUGGCACCCGUAGGCAUCUAGCUGAAUGUAUUAUCUACCAUCUGAGAGUUUUCCAGAGAGGUGUUUUUUGAAAAAGUGAGAAUUUUUGAAAUAGUUGGUAUAGAGCACAUAUAUGUGGUGAGCAUAGAAAAAUAAGUAUUUUUGAGUCACUACUCCGAAAAAUUCAGAGCCUGACUGGCAAAGUGGCACCCGUAGGCAUCUAGCUGGAUGUAUUAUCUACCAUCAGAGAGUUUUCCAGAGAGGUGUUUUUUGAAAAGGUGAGAAUUUUUGAAAUAGUUGGUAUAGAGCACAUAUAUGUGGUGAGCAUAGAAAAAUAAGUAUUUUUGAGUCACUACAUCUACAAAAGAUACACGCACACAUUUGAACGUGAUUGCCACUAUUCAGAGUUUAAAAUUUUCAUUUUCAAUGAGUGAAAUUCAACGUGAAUUUUGAAAAUUCUCAACUGAGGGAUCAAAAUAAAAAUCAUUUUGGUGAAUGAAUUUUUUCACCUAUUCAUUCAUUUUUCUGUCACUGACAAUUUUCACUGAGAAAUAAAACUGGACCGUAACUCCCGAUUAUACUUCCAAUCACCUCAAAACUUGUGUAUAGUAGUUAAUUAGAAUAUUAAUUAUGUUCUCUAUUUGUCCAUUAAGUCGGAUUGUGCGCCUGUUAACAGAAAUUGGACAUUUUACGACAUGCGAAAAAAUAUUCGUGACAGAGAAUUGAAUGAAAAAAGAGAGGCAUUCAGCUGAAAAUGAAUGUGGCCAAACACGAAUGAAAAAAAGAGAAUGUCAAUCUUCACUUUCAAUUUUCGAUUUUUUUACUCUCUGGUUGUAAGUCACUGUAUAUACAAAUGCAAUGGCAUACGUAGGACCACGCAUAACUCGUGAACGAAACGCACGAUUUGUCGGCUUUGUGACUUAAACGUUUAAAAACGCAAACACAUUUCAUAAUUUUAUUAUCAAGUGUCGAUAAUCUUUCAAUUAUAUCGCUAUAUACACUACACAACUCAAUUCCGCGCCAAAUCCGCGCGAGGGCUAAAUUCCAUGGGUAAAUCCGCGCCAAAUCCGCGAAAAUCGCGAAAUCCGCGCUGUUGUAACAACCCUGAAAGUAUUCUACAGAAAUCAUUCGUCGACUUAUUUUUAGGGAUCUAGGGGUGACUACUAUGGAUUUUUCUUUGCAGGAGUAAAAUUUCCCCAUAGUAAAUCGUAUGAAAAACUAAGAAUGGCGGGUGCUAAAAUAUAGUUUUUCCGAUCGAUCUGAAAUUUUGCACGGUUGAUAUGGGACCAAGUGGAACUCAAAAAGUAUACAGGAACAUGAGUUUUUCCAUGUUUUGUGUUUUCCCAUAUAAACCGUGUACCAGGCUAAUACACAGUCACAAUCAAUAUUCACCUCAAAAUAGUUGAAUUAAUAAUUGUAAGAAAUUUGAAAGCCUUAUUGCAGUGAAAAAUGUUCAAUAAAGAAGCAUUAGGUGGUGUCCGAAUUCAUAUUAUAAGUUACACUCAUUGCACAAUUAUGGGUCACACACAAUUAUUUGUCACUUUCCUCUUUAAUAGAUAAAUACUAAUUAAUCGAAAGCUUUUGUUAUCCAUUAUCAUUUUGCGUUCAUAAGUUGAUUUGUUUUGUGUCACUUUACGUAUCGCACGUGGGCUUAUACCGUAAUCCGGGGUAACAUUGAUCAGAAUUUUCGAUCUUUCUUGAAUAAUUCUCUUGUUAAAGCAAAUGUUACAUGAUUUAUAUUUUUAAAACAAGUACUGGCUCUCUGAAUAUGUGUUAAGCUACACGAAAAAGUAUUGUGAAACUUUAAAUCAUGUUAAAAUAAGCUUUUUAAUCUAAUUUUUGAUUUUGUAGAUUUGGGGUAACAUUGAUCAUGCCAGUCAUCAAUGUUCGUUUGUGUUAAAAGUACCCUUACUUACUAAAUUCGGGGUCGAUGAUUUCGAAUAUGUUGUCCAAAUUUUUACAAGUUAUGUACUUUUUGAGUUAUUUUAAGAUUAACAUCCUCCAAACCGCGAAUAACGCCUAAAGGUAGGCAAUUGCUUAAGGAAUUGAUAGCCUACUUUUGAUAAAUCGUAUAUUUUAUUACAAAAGAGCAGUUUCAUAAAAGUUUCGUUCAUUAAAUCCAACUCUAGGAUAUCAUAUUUAAGUAAUACAGUGAUUUCUAUCCUCAUAUUGUAUCUAGUAUUCAUGCCAAGCAUGAAUGUUUGACAAAGUAUCUCAUUGUGUUACGAAACACAGUUAUGGAAAAAUCGAUUUAUUUCAAUGUUUAUGGAAUUCAAUUUUGAAGAAUUACAUGUCAUUUAAUAGCUAAAUAACAGCAGAUUACGAUAUUCCAUUCGAUAGCAGAAACUGAUUCAAUGUAAAAUGCUUGUUUGAACAUUUCACGAGGUCGGUCAAGCCGAUCAAUGUUACCCCGCUGAUCAAUGUUACCCCGUAAACGAAAUUCUUACAAGAAAUUGCUAAAUUUUAUAAAAAUUGCUCAAAUGGCCAAAUUUGAAAACUUUCAAUCCGGGGUGAAGUUGACCAACCAAUGACAUAACAUUCUUAGAAUGGAAAAUUAUUGAACUAACUAAAUUUGAUGAUGCUGAAUCUUUUUUUUUUUUAUCUGUAUUAACGAGAUUUUUAGCCCUAGGCUAGUUCAUCUCGGGACCCACGCUUUACUUCCCUUCCGAAGGAAGAACUCACAUUUUGUAAGUUUGUCGGGAGUGGGAUUCGAGAUGCUGAAUCUGAAUAAGUUUUUAAAAUUCUUACAACUGGUGCAAUAUGUGACAAUGGGUAUUAUCGGCAGGUUUGUUCUCUUCGUCAUGGGGAGUUUUUGUCAGCCAAAUUAUCUGAAACUUGGCCAUAUAAUUCAGCUUAGUUGGGAAGGAUUUGAGACCAACUCUGAGUUCUAUAGGUUUCAAAAAACCCCCAAAGACGAAGAGAACAAAACGGCCGAGAAUAGGUAAUUUCCCCUAUGUCAAAAAUAAAAUAAAGUUUAAUAAGUUACAGAAUGACCCACAUUAAACGCCUAAAGGUAUGCAAUUACCUUAAAAAUUCUCACUUUCGCACAAAUAUGCUUUUAUGAAAUUAAACUUAUAUGUUAACUUCGAUUUUAACUCAAAGCUAUGUUAAAUAAGCCUACCAUGAAUAAAUAAAAGUGUUUUGUGAGUCAUCUGAUAAACAAGGCGUUGCUGGGAGGCGAUUUUUUUGAAAGGCACACGGUGUGCUGAAACACGAUUAUUAUCGCACUUUCAUGAACCUAAAAUCUUUUUUCGUUAUAAGUUAGCCUUAACCGUAUAGAAAAAAGAUUCGGGAGGGUAGAAAAUCUUUCAUCGGGGAAAAUUAAAAUAAAUUGGAUUUUAGUAUUCUACCAUUUUUCUUAUAUAAACUAGUGUUACGCAAAAAUAGUAAAACUGAACUCGUCUUAAAAAUGACACUUUUCUAAUCAAUAAUUUUUAAACCCUUAGAGUGAAAUAAGCGUAAAAAGUUUUCCAACUAAUAACAAGUUGUUUUCGACGUUCUAUUUAUAUGACCAGCCCACUAUAGUCUGCCAAAACUCAUGCAUCAGCAAUAAAUUGCAUGACCUUUAUGUGCAGGUGUUGCUUCUUAUGUCUUAAAUUCGAUCUCACUGUAAGGUCGACUUCAGUGUUCGCAAACUUCAGGAAGCUUGUUCGGUUUAUGUUGCUGAGCUGGCAGCAAUUAAUUUCGCUUUCGGGAUGGUUUUCAACAUGCCCGCAGACUAUUUCUUCAUCUUUUCGGAUAGUCUUAGUUCUAUUGAGGCACUCCGGUCGAUGAAACCUGUAAGCUGUAAGGUAUAUAUCUUACUUUCUUUCAAAAAUAAGGGAGCAGAUGGGUGCACUGGUCGAAAGAUCAUACAAGAUUACCUAUGUAUAAGGUCCCCUUACAUCGCUCAAUUUAUGACAAUGAGAAGGAGACCUCUCUCUCGCGAAAGUGGGCGCAGAGGACGCUAGACGCGCAUUUACACAGAAUUGAUCUCGCGUUGAGCAAUAUUUGAGCUAAGUGCGGUUCCGGUUAUGAUGACAUCGACCACUUAGUUUGGCAGCGGCCGACUAAUGAUGCCUCCAGAGCUCUUCUUUUGGAUACCCUUGAGUCCCGAGGUAGACAACCUUUUGUUUUUGUGAGAGAUGGUUUUUUUUAAUUUCUUUUUAUUUGUGAAUUUUAACUUAGGCUAAUUCUUCACAUGUGAGAGAUGUGUUGGGGACCCGUGAUGUUACAUACAUGGGAUGUAUUUUCGGCUGUCUUCGUUCUGCUCGUAUAAAAGUUUGAUUCGCUUGUGUUUUCUUCCCCAGUUUAUUUCUCUGUUCUUGCCUUUUUUGUGUUGUUCCAUCCGGCAGAAGAAUAAUCCACUCCCACUGCAAUCUGGUUUCCAAUUGCUACAAAGACAACGAACAUGCCAUCAAGAUAUAACUCUCGGAUGAGUUUCAGAGAAUCCUUACCCCCAAUCUUUUCCAAGUCUAUGAUUAAAGACUAUUAUUGUGACAUACUACCCUCGAGCUGCCACGAACACCCAGGCACCGACCAAUAUCAACUAUGGUAUAAAAGAAUGUAUUCAUACAUAACAUACAAAAAUUGAAUUUUGAAAAAAAGAAUAAACAUUCACGAGUAUAUAUUCUUGUUAGUACUGAAAUAAUAUCCUUCGUAUGGUAGUUUUGCCAGUUACAUGAGAACUUGAACAGUAUCAGUGAUAUUACUGAUAGGCAAAUUCUCGUGGAAACUAGUGCAAUAUAGUUGCAGUUAGGA